UACGAAGGGGGCUAGCGUUGCUCGGAAUCACUGGGCGUAAAGGGCGCGUAGGCGGCCAUUCAAGUCAGGGGUGAAAGCCUGUGGCUCAACCACAGAAUUGCCUUUGAUACUGUUUGGCUAGAGACCGGAAGAGGUAAGUGGAACUGCGAGUGUAGAGGUGAAAUUCGUAGAUAUUAGGAAGAACACCAGUGGCGAAGGCGGCUCACUGGUCCGGUACUGACGCUGAGGUGCGAAAGCGUGGGGAGCAAACAGG
rnacentral:rRNA from 1 species